CUCUAAAGAAGUGCUGCUCACUAGAAAUACAUUGUGAGCCAAAAAGAUGAGCCACAUAGAUCUUCUCGGCUUAGCGGCUGAAGACUGACACUGCCAGAUCGCCUCGGAAGCCCCCUAGACCAUCACGGAUGCCGAGCUUCGGGUAACUCUCACAGUGGAGGACAACUUCCAUCUUCACCAUGAGCUGGGAGGCAGGAGGAUAAUCUGGCUUCAGGAAGGAAGAAAAUGUUUGUAGUUCUGGGAACUCCAGCUCAUUUUUACCACUGCCUGACAGCCUCCACAGCAGGGUUUGUUUGAACCCCAAGGGAAAGGAUAUCUCAGCAGCUUCAGGGAGUGACUGCGUACUUUGGUGAAAAGCCCCAGCGAGCUCUUGGUUUAAGCUAAAAGGUCCAGCACGCCCACUACAAAAUCCUUGCAUUGCAUAGAUAACUUCCUGUAAUCGUUCUAACAGAAUAGAGAGAAAUCAGCGGUAUGUCACAUGGAGGCCCGCAGAUUGGCUUGCCCAGCAUAGCAGUGUCGAUCAGCAACUGCUCACCACAUGUGACCUUAUGGAGCACAUUGGAUGCACUUAUGGAACGCAGCAGGAUGUGCUGGGUGCAGAAGGCGGGGCAAUUUCUCUUGACACGUGACCUGAAGGACAUUUUCUCUAGGUCAGCAUGUGUGAAGGUGUGGUCCAUGGGCCACCUGCAUCAGAGUCACCUUAGCUGCGUGCUAAAGUUGCAGAUUCCCAGGUCCCACCCUAGACUUACUGAGUCAGAAUACCUG
rnacentral:lncRNA from 1 species